rnacentral:rRNA from 1 species
CGGCAAUAGCUCAAAUUUGAAAUCUGGCCUUUGGGUCCGAGUUGUAAUUUGGAGAGGAUGCUUUUGGCGCGGUGCCUUCCGAGUUCCCUGGAACGGGACGCCUUAGAGGGUGAGAGCCCCGUACGGUUGGACACUAAGCCUCUGUAAAGCUCCUUCGAC